AGUGAACGCUGGCGGUAGGCCUAACACAUGCAAGUCGAACGGCAGCACAGUAAGAGCUUGCUCUUACGGGUGGCGAGUGGCGGACGGGUGAGGAAUACGUCGGAAUCUACUUUUUCGUGGGGGAUAACGUAGGGAAACUUACGCUAAUACCGCAUACGACCUACGGGUGAAAGCAGGGGAUCUUCGGACCUUGCGCGAUUGAAUGAGCCGAUGUCGGAUUAGCUAGUUGGCGGGGUAAAGGCCCACCAAGGCGACGAUCCGUAGCUGGUCUGAGAGGAUGAUCAGCCACACUGAAACUGAGACACGGUCCAGACUCCUACGGGAGGCAGCAGUGGGGAAUAUUGGACAAGGGGCGCACGCCUGAUCCAGCCAUACCGCGUGGGUGAAGAAGGCCUUCGGGUUGUAAAGCCCUUUUGUUGGGAAAGAAAAGCAGCAGGUUAAUACCCCGCUGUUCUGACGGUACCCAAAGAAUAAGCACCGGCUAACUUCG
rnacentral:rRNA from 1 species